rnacentral:RNase_P_RNA from 1 species
GUGAGCCAGCGAGUGGGUCACUCGAAAGAGAGGAAACUCCUCCCUCACUGCAGGCACCCGAAUUAGCGAUAAUUAGCCGGAGACGGCUGGCAACGGAACAGAAAAGACAUCCAGUCAGAAUGACACGAUGAUGGUGAAUAGCCUGAGAUCUCUGAUACUGGAAUGAAACUGCCGACCCGGGUGGAGCAAGGCUAAAUAGAGCACAAGGUCCUGCAC